rnacentral:misc_RNA from 1 species
UUGAAGUUAAGAUUGUCGGUAAAGCCUACUAAAAAAGCACGAGUUUUGGCGAUGAUGUAGAUUACCAAGCAUUACAUUGAACGGUACUAGUCUUUUUUCGUAAUCUGGACCUCAUUGGUAUGAACACGUGAGGCAGAGAGAAGACAUAUCUACCACACUUAUACAGAUCUAAUUUCUAGAGCGUUGUGGUUUUGCAGCUGACACAAACUCGGGUCUACAGCAAAACAAGCAUGUGGGUGACAUCUAUCCUCCUGUGCUUGGCGUGUGGAGUACUGACGGGCGAGCUGCAAGGCGAGGGAAGGCUAGGUAAUGCUUGGAAAGAUGGCAAGGUAGUGGAAGAGGUGGCUAGCUUAGUGGAAGGAAAGCUGAGGGAGUGUCACGUUGUCUUAGUGCAUGCCGGGACCUCCACACACCUGGCAGAACGCAUCAUCAGAAGAGUGUGGGGAAGUGGCGGCACGCGUGAGGAUGUGGCCCUGGUGGUGGUGGACGCGGAGGCACUUCGAGGACAUCAGCGCAAAACCAUGGAAGACAACCUGUGGGGGGACCCGAGGUUGGCGUGUCGGGCUGUGCUACUAGCCACUCGUGUACCUGACGAGGCGCCCUCUCUGCUCAGUUUCCUGGAGGAGUCGGGGCUGUGGCGGUGGUCAGCGGCGUGGGUGGUGGUGGUGGGGGAGGCCUCUGUGGUGGACGUUACCCUGAUGCACCACGCCCUCAGAAACACAGUCCGCGCCCUGUACUUCCCGCUCCCAGGCACUGCACGCCACAGGGACGCCUUUACAGCAGCGGUAGGAGAGAGGGUGAAGAAGGAGGCGCAACAGAAGGAGGUGCAGCGGGAGGAGGAAGAGGAGGAGAUCGAGGUGUACCAGCGGUGUCUGUACUGUGCAAAUGGAGACAUGGGCGUGAUGGAAACGACUCCACAUCAGCUGGUCACGGAGCUUCCCAGAGUGUUCAAUGGUCACAAGUUCCGCGUGGUGACCAUCAAGUACUUCCCAACCAUUGACCACGAGCCGGAGGGUGCUGGCGGCCUGGACACGAGGGUCAGACUCAGGGACUCCCUCAACACCCGCAUGCUGGUGGACAUCGCCAGGCACCUCAACUUCACAUACGAGACACACGAGCCGCUUGAUAGACAGUGGGGGUCUGAUCUCGGGGGAGGCAAUUGGACUGGCCUCGUGGGCACUCUGCAGCGUCAGGAGGCAGACUUCUCCACCACCAUCACGCCCACAGCAGCCCGGCUCCUCAUCAUGCGACACUCCAAGAUCUACGCCUCGGACCCCUUUGUGAUCGUGUCCCUCAAGACGCAGACUAAAGCUGAGCACAUGGCCAUAGCAAAGCCCUUUCCUGGUGAGGUGUGGGUGAUGGUCGGGGUGAGCGUGGCGGCCUCGGGUAUCGCUGCAGUGUUGCUGAAGGCGGCAGUAAAGGAGCAAUGGAGGGCCAGGGAGACUCGAGGCACUUCAAGCAAACAGUCAACCUUACUCUACCUGUGGGGCGUCCUGCUGGAAACCCCUCCUAACCUCCCGCCCAUGUCAGUCACCAUUAAGGUGCUGGUGGCGUGGUGGCUCCUCAGCUGUCUGGUUCUGUCCGCCGCCUACAGGUCUUCCCUCGCCGCGCAUUUCACAGUGGGGGUGAAGGCGCCGCCCGUGGACUCCUUCGUGGACCUGGUGGCGCGGGACAGCUGGCGGUGGGGCAGUGAACCAUUAGGAGGCGCCUCACUCUUUUACUUCACCAGCAGCAUUGACGCCACCACCCGCGCCGUGUUUGCCAAGAUGGAGGUGAGGCGAUGCAAAGCGAGGCGUGUCCUGUGCAUUCUAAAGGAUCGGCGCGCCCUGCCUCCCUGCCAUCACUGUCAUGACGCAGAGACUCAUCGAGGGCGGCCUCAUAAGCUAUUGGCUAGUUGACGUCAUUGCCACCAGGGUACGUGAGGAGAGAAGGGUAGGCUCGACCUACAGCCAAGCCCUUGCCGAGCACUGGACUUCCCCUUCAGAGUCUGAAGGGGACGAGGAGGUGGUGGUGAGGAUGGCACACCUAUACGCAGCCUUCUACAUCCUGGCAGCGGGUCUGGCCCUCAGCUGCCUCGCCUUCUCCGGGGAGAUUCUAUUAGCCCGCUAUUGUUGCGGUGCUUA